CAAACUGCAAAGUAGUAAAAUAAACUUAAAUCAAAUUAAAAUGCAUACAUACAACUUUAACGUUGUUUCCCUUUCAAAACAAAAUAGUUGUAAGAUAGUUGUAAAAUCACUACCUUGGCCACAGAUAAGUUAGGUUGAUGCUGUCAUGUCUGA